rnacentral:rRNA from 1 species
CCCUUGGUUGAUCCCGCCGGACCUGACUGCUAUCGGAUUGAUACUAAGCCAUGCGAGUCUUUGUAGUAAUACAAGGCAGACGGCUCAGUAACACGUAGUCAACCUACCCUAUGGACGAGAAUAAUCUCGGGAAACUGAGCAUAAUUCUUGAUAGAUCAUAAUGCCUGGAAUGGUUUAUGGUUAAAAUGAUUCGUCGCCAUAGGAUGGGACUGCGGCCUAUCAGCUUGUUGGUGAGGUAAUGGCCCACCAAGGCGAUUACAGGUACGGGCUCUGAGAGGAGAAGCCCGGAGAUGGGUACUGAGACACGGACCCAGGCCCUAUGGGGCGCAGCAGGCGAGAAAACUUUGCAAUGUGCGAAAGCACGACAAGGUUAAUCCGAGUGAUUUCUGCUAAAGAAAUCUUUUGCCAGUCGUAAAACCGCUGGUGAAUAAGAGGUGGGCAAGUUCUGGUGUCAGCCGCCGCGGUAAAACCAGCACCUCAAGUGGUCAGGAUGAUUAUUGGGCCUAAAGCAUCCGUAGCCUGCUUUGUAAGUUUUCGGUUAAAUCCAUGUGCUCAACGCAUGGGCUGCCGAAAAUACUGCAUAGCUAAGGAGUGGGAGAGGUAGACGGUACUCAGUAGGUAGGGGUAAAAUCCUUUGAUCUAUUGAUGACCACCUGUGGCGAAG